rnacentral:rRNA from 1 species
UACAGAGGGUGCAAGCGUUAAUCGGAAUUACUGGGCGUAAAGCGCACGUAGGUGGCUGGGUAAGUUGGAUGUGAAAGCCCCGGGCUCAACCUGGGAAUUGACGAUGAAGACUGCAAGGCUUGAAUCUGGCAGAGGGGGGUAGAAUUCCACGUGUAGCAGUGAAAUGCGUAGAGAGUGUGGAGGAACACCGAUGGCGAAGGCAGCCCCCUGGGUCAAGAUUGACGCUC